GCCCGGAGGCUGUGGGGGGCGGGGGAGGAUACGUAAGGAGGAAGGACGGGAGUGUCGGGACAGAGUGGGAGGGACGGAGCGUUGGUGAACCGCAAGGAGUGGGGCCUUUGGGGAGUGGAGAAAUUGAAUAAAACUGGGCGGGCCUUAAAUAAGCAAAUUAAGAGGCUAGGAUUUGGUGGGCGAGGCCUAGAGGGGCGUGACCUUUGGGGCGGUGUCUCGGCGGAGCGUUGAGCUGCUUUGAGUGGGCGAGGGCAUCAUGGGGCGGAGCCUGACGUGGAAAUGUUAGCCCGCUCCCUUCUGCAGCGUAGCAUGAGACAUCGCACUCUGGCCUCCGUCCCGGCCCUGUGGGCCUCCAUCCCCUGUCCACGCUCUGAGCUGCGCCUGGACCUGGUUCUGGCUUCUGGACAGUCAUUCCGGUGGAGGGAGCAAAGCCCUGCGCACUGGAGUGGCGUGCUGGCCGACCAGGUAUGGACACUGACCCAGACUGAGGAGCAUCUUUACUGCACUGUGUACCGAGGGGAUAAGGGCCGGGUUGGCAGGCCCACACUGGAAGAGCUAAAGGCCGUGCGACAGUACUUCCGGCUGGAUGUCAGCCUUGCUCAGCUGUAUCACCAUUGGAGUUCUGUGGACCCCCACUUUCAAGAGGUGGCUCAGAAAUUCCAAGGUGUGCGACUCCUGCAACAGGAUCCCAUCGAGUGUCUCUUCUCCUUCAUCUGUUCCUCCAACAACAACAUUGCCCGCAUCACUGGCAUGGUGGAGCGGCUCUGCCAGACCUUCGGACCUCGGCUCCUCCAGCUUGAUGAUGUCACCUACCAUGGCUUCCCCAGCUUGCAGGCCCUGGCUGGGCCACAGGUGGAGGCUCAGCUCAGGAAGCUGGGCCUGGGGUAUCGUGCCCGCUAUGUGAGUGCCAGUGCCCGAGCCAUCCUGGAAGAACGGGGUGGACUUCCCUGGCUGCAGCAGCUGCGCAAGGCGCCCUACGAGGAGGCCCAUAAGGCCCUCUGCACCCUGCCUGGGGUAGGCACCAAGGUGGCCGACUGCAUCUGCUUGAUGGCCCUAGACAAGCCCCAGGCUGUGCCCGUGGAUGUCCACGUGUGGCAGAUCGCUCAAUGUGACUACAGCUGGCACCCCACCACCAAGGGUCCGAGCCCCCAGGCCAACAAGGAACUGGGAACCCAGAGCUGUGGCAAGAGCAGCCUCUGUUCCACCCACUGUCAGCCAGAAGUGAGAAGCCCAGGCCAGUCGGGCCAUACAAGGCCACCAUGGGGCCUGGGCAGUAGGAAACAGGAAGCAGUGAUCAACUGGCUAGAGGAAGCACCACCCUGGACUCAGCCUCCCCAGCCAGUCAGGCCCAGGAGGUCCCCGUUUCACAGAAGGAACAACUGAGGCACAGAGAGAUGAAGGGUUCAGAAUCAGCAGUUGGUAAGAAGUAGAGUCGAAUUCGAACCCAAGUCUGUCUGAUGGCGGAAGCUGGCCAUUUUCACCCUGUCUCUUGGAGUUCCUUUCAGACCAGUUCCUUGAGCUCCCUUAAGAGUGAUCUCCUCUACCUGGCAGGAAGCAUGGUGUGAGGCAGCCCCAACUUUCCAACUGAACCCAGCAAAAGAGGAGCUACACCCAGUUUCAUGUAUCAGUCUCAGGGAGGGACUCCGAUGGGCUCUGCUGGAGAGACAUGCCUAUGCCUUUACCCCCAGAACUGUUGCCAGAGGAAUAAGGUACUAUACAGGGUAAGUGUACUGUCAUGGGCAGCCACACCAAAGUCACAGGGGAUGAAGAUGGCUAUCCUGCCCAAAGGAAAUAGUCCUGGGCAGGCACAACUAACAAAUCCAUCCCAGCCGUGCUCCCAUCAGUCAGAAAAAAAACGGCGUUAAUAUGUUUUGGUACAUAUUCUUCCAGACUUUUUUUGAUGUGUAUACAUAUACACACUUCCUCCUACAGCCCCCAUUUCCAGUGAGCAUAUUUCAAGGUACUGAAGCAAAAAGUCAAGGAAAGUCAAAUAUAUGAAAAAAAAAAAGUAAAGGAAAUAAUCCUCUUCUCUCUUUUGUUAUUAAAAAAUGACAAAACAACUCAGACA